UACAGAGGUCUCAAGCGUUGUUCGGAUUCAUUGGGCGUAAAGGGUGCGUAGGCGGCGCGGUAAGUCAGGGGUGAAAUCCUGGAGCUCAACUCCAGAACUGCCUUUGAUACUGAGAGCUUGAGUCCGGGAGAGGUGAGUGGAACUGCGAGUGUAGAGGUGAAAUUCGUAGAUAUUCGCAAGAACACCAGUGGCGAAGGCGGCUCACUGGCCCGGUACUGACGCUGAGGUGCGAAAGCGUGGGGAGCAAACAGGG
rnacentral:rRNA from 1 species